CCAAUAGCGUAUAUUAAAGUUGUUGCAGUUAAAAAGCUCGUAGUUGAAUUUCGGGGUCAGUAGGUUGGUCAUGCCACUGGUAUGUACUGGUCUCACUGAUUCCUCCUUCCUGAUGAGCCGUAAUGCCAUUAAUUUGGUGUUGCGAGGAAUCUGGACUGUUACUUUGAAAAAAUUAGAGUGUUUAAAGCAGGCUAACGCUUGAAUACAUUAGCAUGGAAUAAUGAAAUAGGACGUUCGAUCCUAUUUUGUUGGUUUCUAGGAUUGACGUAAUGAUUAAUAGGGAUAGUUGGGGGCAUUAGUAUUCAAUUGUCAGAGGUGAAAUUAUUGGAUUUAUUGAAGACUAACUACUGCGAAAGCAUUUGCCAAGGAUGUUUUCAUUAAUCAAGAACGAAAGUUAGGGGAUCGAAGACGAUCAGAUACCGUCGUAGUCUUAACCAUAAACUAUGCCGACUAGGGAUCGGAUGAUGUUAAUUUUUUAAUGACUCAUUCGGCGCCUUACG
rnacentral:rRNA from 1 species